CUCGCCGAACUUGCGCACCCGAGCUCUCCUCGCGCUCGACUCUCCUGCCCUAACCGCCGGUGCCGCACGGAUUCUCUUCCUUGCGCUGUGCUCUUACCCGAUGCCUCCCCGACGCCGCACCCAAAAUCGCUCCGAGGCAGUUCCUUCUUCCCCUUCCUCGCGUGCCCUAGCGACGCCUUUUCCCUCUGCGGCCGAGCCCUCCUCUUCAUCUUCUCUUCCUUUUCGCUGAGCGACGACGCCGAGCGCCACCUUGUCGUCGGGCGCCACCUCCCCUCUGCCUAGCACCGGGGCCCUAGUUGUCUCCACCGCCGCUUGCUCCGAUCGAGACACCGCCGGCCGAGGUACCCAUGGGGCUCUCGGCAGCCAUGCUUCUGAUAGUGCCAUAGAGUUGCCGUCGGGUCGCCUCUUUCUGAUCUAGCUCUAGAUCACUGUGUGUUGCCAUCUCCGGUGUCCUAGCAUCGGCACAAUUCAAGCAUGUGAAAUUGGUGUCGGCAACAUAGUUCUGGCCGUAACUUCUUGUAGGGCUAGUUACCUUACUCCAACAGUAGAUUUGCUCCAACAGGGAGCUAUAGGCUGAGGCAACACUUCUCCGGCUAAAUCAAAAGAGUUGUGUGAUGUGGAUCAACUAUCAAGGUUGUGAGGAAGGAAGUUGGAUGUUUGUUUUGGGUUUUUGAGUUGAGACAAGAGCUCUGAUUUGAGGGCAUACAACACGAUCUACAUUGGAGGUACCAGGUUAUUUAUGGUGUCGCUUGGAGCAUCCUGUUUGCUGGUCCCCGCGUCAUAUCAG